rnacentral:rRNA from 1 species
GACGAACGCUGGCGGCGUGCUUAACACAUGCAAGUCGAACGGAAAGGCCCUGCUUGCAGGGUGCUCGAGUGGCGAACGGGUGAGUAACACGUGGGUGAUCUGCCCCUUACUUUGGGAUAAGCCUGGGAAACUGGGUCUAAUACUGGAUAGGACCAUGCUGUAGGUGGUGUGGUGGAAAGAUUAGUUUCGGUAAGGGAUGAGCUCGCGGCCUAUCAGCUUGUUGGUGGGGUAAUGGCCUACCAAGGCGUCGACGGGUAGCCGGCCUGAGAGGGUGGACGGCCACAUUGGGACUGAGAUACGGCCCAGACUCCUACGGGAGGCAGCAGUGGGGCAUAUUGCACAAUGGGCGCAAGCCUGAUGCCGCGACGCCGCGUGGGGGAUGACGGCCUUCGGGUUGUAAACUCCUUUCAGCCAUGACGAAGCCCUUGUGGUGACGGUAGUGGUAGAAGAAGCACUGGCUAACUACGUG